rnacentral:rRNA from 1 species
UGGACAGGGAGACAGGUGGUGGCGAUGGUUGUCGUUCAGCUCGUGUCGUGAGAUGUUGGGUUAAGUCCCGCAACGAGCGCAACCCCACGUUUAGUUGCUAACGCGUGAAGGCGAGCACUCUAGACGAACUGCCGUUGACAAAACGGAGGAAGUGGGGAUGACGUCAAAUCAUCAUGCCCCUUAUGUUCUGGGCUACACACGUGCUACAAUGGCCGGUACAGACGGACGCAAAGCCGCGAGGUGGAGCAAAUCCUAAAAAGCCGGUCUCAGUUCGGAUUGCAGGCUGCAAUUCGCCUGCAUGAAGUCGGAAUCGCUAGUAAUCGCAGGUCAGCAUACUGCGGUCGAAUACGUUCCCGGCCUU